CGGCAAACGGGUGCGGAACACGUACAGAACCUUCCUUUAAGCGGGGGAUAGCCCAUAGAAAUGUGGAUUAAUACCCCAUAAUAUUAUUGAGUGGCAUCAUUUAAUAAUUAAAGAUUUAUCACUUAGAGAUGGCUGUGCGGCUGAUUAGGUAGUUGGUGCGGGUAACGGCCCACCAAGCCUGCGAUCAGUAACUGGUGUGAGAGCACGACCAGUCACACGGGCACUGAGACACGGGCCCGACUCCUACGGGAGGCAGCAGUAAGGAAUAUUGGUCAAUGGAGGCAACUCUGAACCAGCCAUGCCGCGUGAAGGAUGAAGGCCCUCCGGGUUGUAAACUUCUUUUAUGUGGGAAGAAAUGCCUGUUUUUUAACGGGUUUGACGGUACCAUAGGAAUAAGCACCGGCUAACUCCGUGCCAGCAGCCGCGGUAAUACGGAGGGUGCAAGCGUUAUCCGGAUUCACUGGGUUUAAAGGGUGCGUAGGUGGGAAUGUAAGUCAGUGGUGAAAUCUCCGUGCUUAACAUGGAAACUGCCAUUGAUACUAUGUUUCUUGAAUUUUCCGGAGGUAAGCGGAAUAUGUCAUGUAGCGGUGAAAUGCUUAGAUAUGACAUAGAACACCAAUUGCGAAGGCAGCUUACUACAGGGACAUUGACACUGAGGCACGAAAGCGUGGGGAUCAAACAGGAUUAGAUACCCUGGUAGUCCACGCCCUAAACGAUGGAUACUCGACAUUUGUGAUACACAAUAAGUGUC
rnacentral:rRNA from 1 species